AUGAACGCUAGCUACAGGCUUAACACAUGCAAGUCGCGGGGCAGCGGGAUUGAAGCUUGCUUCAAUUGCCGGCGACCGGCGCACGGGUGAGUAACGCGUAUCCAACCUUCCGUACACUCAGGGAUAGCCUUUCGAAAGAAAGAUUAAUUCCUGAUGGUAUGAUGAGAUUGCAUGAUAUCAUCAUUAAAGAUUUAUCGGUGUACGAUGGGGAUGCGUUCCAUUAGGUAGUAGGCGGGGUAACGGCCCACCUAGCCAACGAUGGAUAGGGGUUCUGAGAGGAAGGUCCCCCACAUUGGAACUGAGACACGGUCCAAACUCCUACGGGAGGCAGCAGUGAGGAAUAUUGGUCAAUGGACGAGAGUCUGAACCAGCCAAGUAGCGUGAAGGAGGAAGGUCCUACGGAUUGUAAACUUCUUUUAUAAGGGAAUAAACCCUCCCACGUGUGGGAGCUUGUAUGUACCUUAUGAAUAAGCAUCGGCUAACUCCGUG
rnacentral:rRNA from 1 species